AUCAAUCUAAAGCAAUAAAUAGAGCAAUCUGGAGCAAUUAUUUCGCAUAGCAUUGCUGAAAUUUUCAGGAAUUACUGGGUAUUGCAAUAAAUUACUUCACGUGGUCGUGACGUCAUAAUUGACUAAAUUGCCUGGAAUUUAGGAAUUUCAAUUGCCCGUGUAAGCCAACCUGAAGUUAAAAUAUCUG